CGUCGCCAGUUUGGCGGUUUCUUCCCCCGGAGGCCACGAAGAACAUCCUGAACGAAGACGAGACAAAACUGAAUUUUUGGAACCCCAAGGCCAUGUUGACUUUCUGGGAAGAUUCUUACUCCAAACUGACAAUAGAUGGUAUGCCAAUAGUUGGACUCCUUGUCCCUAAUUAAAAACAAGAAAGCAAAUAACAUUUGACCCUCAGGAAAUGGGGCCUGAGGCAAAAUCCCAACUUGCAUUAUUCCAUAAAUAAUCACAAUUUAUAAUGUAUCUUCUUAUGUUUGCUUUCAUUUCUGAACUAGGUUAUAAAUUUAAGAGGGAGAAAUUAUCCAGAUUAUAAACUCAAAAGCAAUGGACCUUGAAUUAAAGAGGUUAGGGUUUAUGUCCCAGCUCCAUGCAGUAUCAAACCUGGAACCAUGCACAAUUUCCAUCAUCUUUCUGAGUUAUAAUUUCUUCACCUAUAAAAUGGGUUAACAAUACUUUGACCACCUUCCUUGCAAGGUUGUUCAGAAUGUUUUGUAAACCAUGAAAUGCUACAUAAAUAGAACUAUAAUUACCCUAAAAUGGAUCUGUACUCUUAUCAAUUUGAACAGCUCCACAGAGGAAUGCUAGCAAUAAUGAUUAUUUAUACAAUCUUAUACUGUUAGUGACUGAUUAGAUGGGGACAGGGAGGAGAAGAAAGAUAACUGGAAUUUUAUAUUUGAGGUGCCUGGGGAAAUAAUGAUACCUUGGCAGAGAUAGGGAAAUUGACAGAGAAAUGUGGAUGGAGAUGGGCCCAUAACUGAUUAGUUCAUAGAGAUCAUUGAUUUAAAGCCAGAAUUGUCCUAGCGAGGCUGUCUAAUUCAACUCAGUCAUUUUAUAGAUGGAAAACUUAAGUCCAAAAAGAGUUAGUCAAUAGAUACUAAAUGUCUGAUAUGUCCCAAGUAGCUUGAGUGUCACAGCGAAGGUCACAUGAAGAGUCUUAAGUGACAGAGGCAGGAUUUGAACCCAGUUCCUUUUACUUUAAUUCCAGUACUCUUUGGCAUACUGGAUUCAGGAUGGUAGCUUCCAAGGGGAAAUGCCAAGUAAGCAGUUGAGCUUGUGGGUUAGGGUUAGGGCCUGAGGGAGAGGAAAAAAAUAAGAAACAAAUUUUAAUUAUAAGCAGAGAGAAGAAAUGAAUAUAGUUGAGCUCAAUGAUGGCAGAAAAAUGCUGGGAUAAGUAGGAGAAUGAGGAUCCUUUUAGGUAAAGUUCCUUGUGGAUGGUGUGUGAAAUCCCUCUAGCUCUGGAGGGCAAUCCUUUACACUUGUGUAGAGACUCAGAACAGAUGUAGACAGAUGCUGGAAGAGCAGAUGGAAGGACCGGCCAAUUAAACAGGCUCAUAGAAAUAGAACUUCUUAGUUAAACACCAGAGGCAGAUGGCAAUUUGCUUCUGCAUUUCAAGGAUCCAUGAUUUUCAUCAGUUUUCUUGUCUCUGCUUACACGGAUUGCUACCAUUACUUAUAGGUAUUUUCUCUGAGUUGCCAAACCUCAGACUAUGAUCUUUUGGGAAUUUAAGGACUCUUUAUUAUCUUUGAAAAACCUGCAUGAGCUCAUGCUUUGCUGACAGUCUUUAAGAGUCCAGGAUCCAAACUGCCAUAUUCUAGAUAGGUGUUAAGGGUACUUUGGUCCUAAGGUUUUUAUAAUACUAUUAUUUUUUAAAACUUUGUGACACUGAACAAAUCAUGUUUAGAUCUCAGUUUCUGUACUUAUGAAAUAGACUAGGCAGUCUAUAAAUUCUAUAUUCCAUGACAAUAUAGGUUUUUGUCUUUAGAAGAUGUUUUCCUUUAAACUAGAGCCCUUAAACCUGCCUGACUCCAUUUAAUUAAAAUUAAUUCAGCUAAGGAACCAAAAAAAAUGUUUCUACUACCAACCCUGUCUUAGGAGUAUACGUUCUCUUUUCUGCGCCUCCAGCUAAAUGAUCAUCUUGUUAUAAAAUUUUAAUUAAUCUAAUUUUCUCUUCAAUUAACAAAAAUCAAUUUCUUUGCUUUGUCUACUCUCCUUUUUCCACUGGAAAAAGAAUACCCUUGUAACAGGUACAUAUAAUUCAAGCAAAACAAAUUUUAGAUGGUCACUUGUACUCAAAUAUAACAGAACUAGGAUGUUGAGUGAUCUGGAAACCAUGAUACAUGAAGAAUAGGAACUAGGGAUAUUUGAUCUGGAAAGAUGAGAUUUAGUGGAGGUAUGAUUUCUGUCUUCAAAUAUUUGAAAGGUUGUUAUGAGUGAAAAAGAGGGGUACAGUUUAUUCUGUGCGGCCAGAGUGCAGAACCUAGACUAUGUAUCUCUUGUACCUAGAAAUUUUCUUGUCUCUUCCAUUAGAAUGGAAGCUCCUUGAGGAUAGGGAAUAAAUUUGUUGUGGAGUUUUUCUUUUCUUUUCUUUUCUUUCUUUCUUUCUUGCUUGCUUUCUGCCUUGUUUUGUACCCUUGGCAUUUUGUACAGUACCUAGCAUACAGCAAGUGUCAACUAUUUGCUCACUGACUGAUUGGAUAAAGUUACAAAGAAGCACAAUAUGAAAGAUUUUUGUAAGAAUGAGAAUGGUUUCUGAACAGAAGACCUUGAGAGAUUGUAAGCUUCUUGUUCUUAGCAGUGUUUAAGCAGAAUCUCUGAGAGGCUCUUAAAAGGAUUCCUUUAUGGACAAGGAAACUAGGUAGAUGUCUUUUGUAGAGGAAAAAAGCCAAACUAUUUGGUUUCCAGAUUGCAAGACAUUUUAAAUUCAGUUCUUGUAUUUGAUAUCCUCUUAAUAAAUGUGUCAAAUGAAUGAA